rnacentral:rRNA from 1 species
AGCGUACACGGUGGAUGCCUAGGCAGUCAGAGGCGAUGAAGGGCGUGCUAAUCUGCGAAAAGCGUCGGUAAGCUGAUAUGAAGCGUUAUAACCGACGAUACCCGAAUGGGGAAACCCAGUGCAAUACGUUGCACUAUCGUUAGAUGAAUACAUAGUCUAACGAGGCGAACCGGGGGAACUGAAACAUCUAAGUACCCCGAGGAAAAGAAAUCAACCGAGAUUCCCCCAGUAGCGGCGAGCGAACGGGGAGGAGCCCAGAGUCUGAAUCAGUUUGUGUGUUAGUGGAAGCGUCUGGAAAGUCGCACGGUACAGGGUGAUAGUCCCGUACACCAAAAUGCACAGGCUGUGAACUCGAUGAGUAGGGCGGGACACGUGACAUCCUGUCUGAAUAUGGGGGGACCAUCCUCCAAGGCUAAAUACUCCUGACUGACCGAUAGUGAACCAGUACCGUGAGGGAAAGGCGAAAAGAACCCCGGCGAGGGGAGUGAAAUAGAACCUGAAACCGUGUACGUACAAGCAGUGGGAGCACCUUCGUGGUGUGACUGCGUACCUUUUGUAUAAUGGGUCAGCGACUUAUAUUUUGUAGCAAGGUUAACCGAAUAGGGGAGCCGUAGGGAAACCGAGUCUUAACUGGGCGUCUAGUUGCAAGGUAUAGACCCGAAACCCGGUGAUCUAGCCAUGGGCAGGUUGAAGGUUGGGUAACACUAACUGGAGGACCGAACCGACUAAUGUUGAAAAAUUAGCGGAUGACUUGUGGCUGGGGGUGAAAGGCCAAUCAAACCGGGAGAUAGCUGGUUCUCCCCGAAAGCUAUUUAGGUAGCGCCUCGUGAACUCAUCUUCGGGGGUAGAGCACUGUUUCGGCUAGGGGGCCAUCCCGGCUUACCAAACCGAUGCAAACUCCGAAUACCGAAGAAUGUUAUCACGGGAGACACACGGCGGGUGCUAACGUCCGUCGUGAAGAGGGAAACAACCCAGACCGCCAGCUAAGGUCCCAAAGUCAUGGUUAAGUGGGAAACGAUGUGGGAAGGCACAGACAGCCAGGAUGUUGGCUUAGAAGCAGCCAUCAUUUAAAGAAAGCGUAAUAGCUCACUGGUCGAGUCGGCCUGCGCGGAAGAUGUAACGGGGCUAAACCAUGCACCGAAGCUGCGGCAGCGACACUUAGGUGUUGUUGGGUAGGGGAGCGUUCUGUAAGCCGUUGAAGGUGACCUGUGAGGGUUGCUGGAGGUAUCAGAAGUGCGAAUGCUGACAUAAGUAACGAUAAUGCGGGUGAAAAACCCGCACGCCGGAAGACCAAGGGUUCCUGUCCAACGUUAAUCGGGGCAGGGUGAGUCGACCCCUAAGGCGAGGCUGAAAAGCGUAGUCGAUGGGAAACAGGUUAAUAUUCCUGUACUUGGUGUUACUGCGAAGGGGGGACGGAGAAGGCUAGGCUGGCCGGGCGACGGUUGUCCCGGUUUAAGCGUGUAGGGGGAGUGACCAGGUAAAUCCGGUUGCUUAUCAACCCUGAGGCGUGAUGACGAUGCACUACGGUGCAGAAGCAGUUGAUGCCAUGCUUCCAGGAAAAGCCUCUAAGCAUCAGGUAACAUUAAAUCGUACCCCAAACCGACACAGGUGGUCAGGUAGAGAAUACUCAGGCGCUUGAGAGAACUCGGGUGAAGGAACUAGGCAAAAUGGUGCCGUAACUUCGGGAGAAGGCACGCUGGCGUUAGGUGAAAGGACUAGCUCCUGGAGCUGAAGCCAGUCGCAGAUACCAGCUGGCUGCAACUGUUUAAUAAAAACACAGCACUGUGCAAACACGAAAGUGGACGUAUACGGUGUGACGCCUGCCCGGUGCUGGAAGGUUAAUUGAUGGGGUCAGCCGCAAGGCGAAGCUCUUGAUCGAAGCCCCAGUAAACGGCGGCCGUAACUAUAACGGUCCUAAGGUAGCGAAAUUCCUUGUCGGGUAAGUUCCGACCUGCACGAAUGGCGUAAUGAUGGCCAGGCUGUCUCCACCCGAGACUCAGUGAAAUUGAACUCGCUGUGAAGAUGCAGUGUACCCGCGGCAAGACGGAAAGACCCCGUGAACCUUUACUAUAGCUUGACACUGAACAUUGAGCCUUGAUGUGUAGGAUAGGUGGGAGGCCUUGAAGUGUGGACGCCAGUCUGCAUGGAGCCAACCUUGAAAUACCACCCUUUAAUGUUUGAUGUUCUAACUCGGCCCCAUAAUCUGGGGUGAGGACAGUGUCUGGUGGGUAGUUUGACUGGGGCGGUCUCCUCCCAAAGAGUAACGGAGGAGCACGAAGGUUAGCUAAUCACGGUCGGACAUCGUGAGGUUAGUGCAAAGGCAUAAGCUAGCUUGACUGCGAGAGUGACGGCUCGAGCAGGUACGAAAGUAGGUCUUAGUGAUCCGGUGGUUCUGAAUGGAAGGGCCAUCGCUCAACGGAUAAAAGGUACUCCGGGGAUAACAGGCUGAUACCGCCCAAGAGUUCAUAUCGACGGCGGUGUUUGGCACCUCGAUGUCGGCUCAUCACAUCCUGGGGCUGAAGUAGGUCCCAAGGGUAUGGCUGUUCGCCAUUUAAAGUGGUACGCGAGCUGGGUUUAGAACGUCGUGAGACAGUUCGGUCCCUAUCUGCCGUGGGCGUUGGAAGAUUGAGAGGGGCUGCUCCUAGUACGAGAGGACCGGAGUGGACGAAUCACUGGUGUUCGGGUUGUCAUGCCAAUGGCAUUGCCCGGUAGCUAAAUUCGGAAGAGAUAACCGCUGAAAGCAUCUAAGCGGGAAACUUGCCUCGAGAUGAGUCUUCCCUGGGGCUUAAAGCCCCCUGAAGGAACGUUAAAGACUAUGACGUUGA